GACGAACCGUGCAAACGUUAUUCGGAAUCACUGGGCAUAAAGGGCGCGUAGGCGGCUUUCUAAGUCAGGGGUGAAAUCCGGCAGCUCAACUGUCGCAGUGCCUUUGAUACUGGAGAGCUCGAGGGAGGUAGGGGUCUGUGGAACUUCCGGUGGAGCGGUGAAAUGCGUAGAGAUCGGAAAGAACACCAACGGCGAAAGCACUCUGCUGGGCCGACACUGACACUGAGAGACGAAAGCUAGGGGAGCGAAUGGG
rnacentral:rRNA from 1 species